CCCCCCCCAGGCUGUGUGCGGGGGGAUACGGCUGGUUGCGAGUAGGGUGGAGCGGCGGCACGGGGUGGCAAAGGGGGUUGGGGGACAACGGGGGAGCGGAGCUGCCGUUGUAUGCGGUUUCGGCUGCCCAUGGUGGUCGCGGGUGGCCCAAGUGCUCGGGCACGCCGUGGGACCCAGCGUGGCCAUGUAGAGCAGAUGGGGACGGGAUGAGCCCUGCGCUGCGCCUGCUGCUGUCCCUGGCCAGCUGCGCCCUGCUGCGGGGCACACCGGUGCCCCCCCUUGGGGUGCGGCUGUGGGCUCAGAACUUCCACGUGCAGCUGCGGUGGGAGCCCGACCCGCGCGCACCGAACGGGACCGCGUACCAGGUGGAGUGGAGGAAGCGGUAGGUGGAGCCCAAAGAUCGCUUCCCUGCAACAAACAUCCCAUAGUAACGCAGUGGCUGGUUCAGCUCAGGCGUCCUUCUGGGUUCCGACCUCCUUCAAGGAUGGAGGCCCCACAACCCAUCUGGGCACCCUGUUCCCUCUGUUGUUGGUCACCCCGUUCCCUCUNGCCCUGCAGAUGGACCACCAGGAGAGCAUCGUGCACCUUCAGGUUCCUGAUGCCCAGCACACAGUACUGCGUGCGCACGGUGGCAGUGGGCAUAGCCCCGCGGCAGAGCCUGGAGGCUGAGCAGUGCCUGGUGACACCGGCAGGUCCUGCAGGCUUCCCCUGGGUGCUCCUGGCCGCGCUGGUUGCUGCCCUCCUGCUGCUGAGCGUGCCUGCUGUCUGCCUGACCUGUGUGUACGCCUUCCCGAAGCCCUCAGAAAUGCACCUCCCCAAGAUGCUGGUAAGUGACCGCCAUGCAUGCAGGGCUCUCGGGGUCUCCAGCCUUCUGCACGCCCUGCUGCCUCCGGCCUUGCAGCCCCACCGGGGUGCCAUGGUUCUGCUGGAGCAGGGAAUGUGAACAGCACCCUUGGAGCAGCACCAGGGCUGCAGUCAGGAAGCUGACCUGAAGUAUUGUCAGCUGUGCAUCCCUAUUCCCCUAUGGCACUCAGCAGGGACAGCCCGGCUCCCCAUGUCCCACUGCCCCCUGCAUUCCCAUAUCCCAGUGCUGAGGGUGACCUGCCAGGCUAAGCAGUUCCCCAUGCACCACAGGGGGAGGCAUCCAGCUGGUCAGCCCACCUUGGUUGUAUCAGUGCCAGGGGUUGGCUUCUGCACCGGGUUUGCCUGUGUGUGCAAUCAUGUUGUGUGUGCAAGGGGUUGCCCAGCACCAGCACCCAGCAGCACCGUGGUUGUAGCACGCUGGCACUGACGGCUUUGCUCUCUGCUUCCCUCCAGGCUCUGCUGCCCAGCAGCACUGUGGUGCCCACCCUGGAGCUGCAGGAGGAUGCGCCAGCCCCGCUGCUGCCGGCCCCCAGUGAGCACCCAGCACCCACAGCCCCACUGCUGCUGGAGGAGUGGUGUUUCCAGCAGAGGAGCGGUUACUGCCCCAAUGGGUUUGGGACGGAGUGGCACG
rnacentral:lncRNA from 1 species